rnacentral:rRNA from 1 species
GACGAACGCUGGCGGCGGGCUUAACACAUGCAAGUCGAACGGAAAGGCCCUGCUUUUGUGGGGUGCUCGAGUGGCGAACGGGUGAGUAACACUGGAGUAACCUGCCCUUGACUUUGGGAUAACUUCAGGAAACUGGGGCUAAUACCGGAUAGGAGCUCCUGCUGCAGGGUGGGGGUUGGAAAGUUUCGGCGGUUGGGGAUGGACUCGCGGCUUAUCAGCUUGUUGGUGGGGUAGUGGCUUACCAAGGCUUUGACGGGUAGCCGGCCUGAGAGGGUGACCGGCCACAUUGGGACUGAGAUACGGCCCAGACUCCUACGGGAGGAAGCAGUGGGGAAUAUUGCCCAAUGGGCGGAAGCCUGCUGCAGCAACGCCGCGUGCGGGAUGACGACCUUCGGGUUGUAAACCGCUUUAGCCUGUGACGAAGCGUGAGUGACGGUAAUGGGUAAAGAAGCACCGGCUAACUACGUG